GCUUGGGCCAGAGUGGUGCGGGCGGCGCGUGGCGGAGUUCCUCACGUGGUGGCUUUCUCACGCUAGCCCUCUUUGGUCCUCCUUGACGUCCCGAGCCUGUGGGCCCGCUUCUUGCCGAGAUGCCGAAGGUCAAGUCGGGGGCCAUCGGCCGCCGCCGCGGGCGGCAGGAGCAGCGCCGGGAGCUGAAGAGCGCUGGAGGACUCAUGUUCAACACGGGGAUUGGGCAGCACAUUUUGAAAAAUCCUCUCAUUAUUAACAGCAUUAUCGAUAAGGCUGCCUUAAGACCAACUGAUGUAGUGCUGGAAGUUGGACCUGGAACUGGCAACAUGACUGUAAAGUUGUUAGAAAAGGCAAAAAAGGUUGUUGCUUGUGAACUUGACCCAAGGCUAGUAGCUGAACUUCACAAAAGAGUUCAGGGCACGUGAGUAUACAUAAUAGAAUUAAAGUGCAUUUCAAUCUCAUGAAACAACAUUCUUUUUACAUUUCUUCUUUUCUCAUCAGGCCUGUGGCCAGCAAACUUCAAGUACUGGUGGGUGAUGUGUUGAAAACAGAUCUGCCAUUCUUUGAUACUUGUGUGGCAAAUUUGCCUUAUCAGAUCUCUUCGCCUUUUGUCUUCAAGCUGUUGCUACAUCGACCUUUUUUCAGGUGUGCUAUACUUAUGUUUCAAAGAGAAUUUGCCCUCCGACUGGUUGCAAAACCUGGAGAUAAGUUAUACUGCAGACUCUCAAUUAAUACACAGCUGUUGGCACGUGUGGACCAUCUAAUGAAAGUUGGAAAGAAUAACUUCAGACCACCGCCCAAGGUGGAAUCCAGUGUUGUAAGGAUAGAACCUAAGAAUCCACCACCACCCAUCAAUUUUCAGGAAUGGGAUGGUCUAGUAAGGAUAACCUUUGUUAGGAAAAACAAGACACUCUCUGCUGCAUUUAAGUAAGUAUUACACUAAUUUUUAAUGUAUAAAGGACCAGUGCUCCAGAUACUAUGCUAGAAUUUGGUCCUUUUCCUGAGCAUACCCUGAAGCAUAAAGAUUAUGGGUCCAGAC
rnacentral:sRNA from 1 species